rnacentral:rRNA from 1 species
UACGUAGGGGGCAAGCGUUGUCCGGAUUUAUUGGGCGUAAAGAGCGUGUAGGCGGCCACACAGGUCCGCUGUGAAAACUCGGGGCUCAACCUCGAGAUGUCGGUGGAAACCGUGUGGCUAGAGUCCGGAAGAGGAGAGUGGAAUUCCCGGUGUAGCGGUGAAAUGCGCAGAUAUCGGGAAGAACACCCGUGGCGAAGGCGGCUCUCUGGGACGGUACUGACGCUGAGGAGCGAAAGCGUGGGGAGCGAACAGG